UACAGGGGGUGCAAACGUUGCUCGGAAUUAUUGGGCGUAAAGCGCGCGUAGGCGGCCACUUAAGUCGGAUGUGAAAGCCCCUGGCUCAACUGGGGAAGUGCACCCGAAACUGAAUGGCUUGAAUGCAAAAGAGGGUCGCGGAAUUCCCGGUGUAGAGGUGAAAUUCGUAGAUAUCAGGAGGAACACCGGUGGCGAAGGCGGGUCUCUGGGCAACAACUGACGCUGAGGAGCGAAAGCGUGGGGAGCGAACAGG
rnacentral:rRNA from 1 species